CCAGACUCCUACGGGAGGCAGCAGUGGGGACUCUUUCACAAUGGGUUCCCCCCUGAUGCCGCGACGCCGCGUGCGUUCAGAAGUAUUUAGGUAUGUAAAGCUCUAUCAGCAGGGAAGAAAAUGACGGUACCUGAUUAAGGAGCCCCGGCUAACUACGUGCCAGCAGCCGCGGUAAUACGUAGGGGGCAAGCGUUAUCCGGAUUUACUGGGUGUAAAGGGAGCGUAGACGGCAGCGCAAGUCUGAAGUGAAAUGCCGGGGCUUAACCCCGGAACUGCUUUGGAAACUGUGCAGCUAGAGUGCAGGAGAGGUAAGUGGAAUUCCUAGUGUAGCGGUGAAAUGCGUAGAUAUUAGGAGGAACACCAGUGGCGAAGGCGGCUUACUGGACUGUAACUGACGUUGAGGCUCGAAAGCGUGGGGAGCAAACAGGAUUAGAUACCCCGGUAAC
rnacentral:rRNA from 1 species